UCUUGAUCUCCUGACCUCGUGAUCCGCCCGCCUCAGCCUCCCAAAGUGCUGGGAUUACAGUCGUGAGCCACCGCGCCCGGCCCAGAACCAGAUUUCUGAGACAGAAUGAUCAGGGUCAGAGAUGACAUUUAGGAUGACAAGUUUAAGGGUAAUUGGUUGUUACAAGAGACAAGAAAGAGCAAUAGUGAAAAUAAACACAGGCACAAGGCAGAAGCAUUUUCUUCCACUUCAACAGAGCUCCUAUGCCUAAACAGGGCAGGGGAACUGUGGAUGUCACAGUGCCGUUAACAGUAAAGCCAAGUGACAUGAGUUUGUCUAUGUAACAAACCUGCACAUGUACUCCUGAAUCUAAAAUAAAAAUUU